GCUGGGCCUGGUGGUGCAUGCCUAUAAUUCCAGUGACGCAGGAGGCUGAGGCAGGAGGACCACAAGUUCAAGGCCAGCCUUGGCAACAAAGUGAGCCCCUGUCUCAA
rnacentral:sRNA from 1 species